rnacentral:ncRNA from 1 species
AAUAAGUUUUAUUCUUGCUUAUUUAUUUAUUUUUAAAUGAUAUUAUAUGUAUUAUUUUAUUAUUUAAUUUUCUAGAAGAUCAUUAAUUAUUUGUUUGCAGUAAUAAAUUUUAUAGAUUGAUAGGUGUUUGAUUUAGUUAUUAUAAUUAAGUGUUGAUAAAAUAUGUGCCAGCAGUCGCGGUUAGACAUAAAAUACAAGUAAAUAUUAUUAGUUUGUUAGUUAUUGUUUGGGUUUAAUAAUUUAUAUUGAUGGUUUUUGGGUAAAAUUUAAAUUUUUGUUUAUUUUAUUAUAUUGUUCUUAGAGGCUAUGAAAUCUAAUUUUAUAUAAACUAGGAUUAGAUACCCUAUUAUUUUGGAUUUAAAUUGUUCAUUCUUAGGUAGUAUUAGAUAUGGUCUUGAAACCUAAAGAAUUUGGCGGUAUUCUAGUCUUUUUAGAGGAAUCUGUCCCUUAAUCGAUAGUCCACGUUGAACCUUACUUGGUACAAAAUUUUAUAUGUAUAUCGCCGUUUUUGAAAAUCUUUUUAGAGAAUUUUCUUAAUAUUUAAUUAAAUAGAAAUUCAGGUCAAGGUGCAGUUUAUGAUCAAGUGGAGAUGGAUUACAUUAUAUUCAUUUAAACGGAUUGAAUCAUGUAAUUGAUUUGUGAAGGAGGAUUUAAUAGUAAUUAUUUAUAGAUUAUUAUUUUGAUUUUAGCUCUAGGGUGUGUACACAUCGCCCGUCACUCUCAUUAUUAAGAUGAGAUAAGUCGUAACAAAGUAGCUGUACCGGAAGGUGUAGCUAGAAUGCU